UACAGAGGGUGCAAGCGUUGUUCGGAAUUAUUGGGCGUAAAGGGAGUGUAGGCGGUCCAUUAAGUCUUCUGUGAAAUCUACGGGCUUAGCCUGUAACGUGCAGAGGAAACUGGUGGACUUGAGUGUCGGAGAGGAUAGGGGAAUACCCGGUGUAGAGGUGAAAUUCGUAGAGAUCGGGUGGAACACCAGUGGCGAAGGCGCCUAUCUGGCUGACAACUGACGCUGAGACUCGACAGCGUGGGGAGCAAACAGG
rnacentral:rRNA from 1 species